rnacentral:rRNA from 1 species
GACGAACGCUGGCGGCGUGCCUAACACAUGCAAGUCGAACGGGGUAGAGAGCUUCGGUUUUCUACUUAGUGGCGAACGGGCGAGUAACGCGUGAAGAACCUGCCUUUCAGUGGGGGACAACAGUUGGAAGCGACUGCUAAUACCGCAUAAUGUAUCCGGAUGGCAUCAUCUGGAUACCAAAGCUUUAUGUGCUGAAAGAUGGCUUCGCGUCUGAUUAGCUAGAUGGCGGGGUAACGGCCCACCAUGGCGACGAUCAGUAGCCGGUCUGAGAGGAUGAACGGCCACAUUGGGACUGAGAUACGGCCCAG